rnacentral:rRNA from 1 species
GAUGAACGCUGGCGGCGUGCUUAACACAUGCAAGUCGAACGGAAAGGCUCCUGCUUGCAGGGGUACUCGAGUGGCGAACGGGUGAGUAACACGUGGGUGAUCUGCCCUGCACUUCGGGAUAAGCCUGGGAAACUGGGUCUAAUACCGGAUAGGACGAUGGUUUGGAUGCCAUUGUGGAAAGUUUUUCGGUGUGGGAUGAGCUCGCGGCCUAUCAGCUUGUUGGUGGGGUAAUGGCCUACCAAGGCGUCGAAGGGUAGCCGGCCUGGGAGGGUGUACGGCCACAUUGGGACUGAGAUACGGCCCAGACUCCUACGGGAGGCAGCAGUGGGGAAUAUUGCACAAUGGGCGCAAGCCUGAUGCAGCGACGCCGCGUGGGGGAUGACGGCCUUCGGGUUGUAAACUCCUUUCGCUAGGGACGAAGCGCAAGUGACGGUACCUGGAGAAGAAGCACCGGCUAACUACGUG